rnacentral:tRNA from 1 species
GCCCAAGUGAUGAAAUGGUAUACAUGGUGGACUCAAAAUCCACUGGUGCAAGCCGUGAGGGUUCGAGUCCCUCCUUGGGCACCA